rnacentral:rRNA from 1 species
UACAGAGGGGGCAAGCGUUGUUCGGAAUCACUGGGCGUAAAGGGUGCGUAGGCGGGUCUUUAAGUCAGGGGUGAAAUCCUGGAGCUCAACUCCAGAGCUGCCUUUGAUACUGAGGAUCUUGAGUUCGGGAGAGGUGAGUGGAACUGCGAGUGUAGAGGUGAAAUUCGUAGAUAUUCGCAAGAACACCAGUGGCGAAGGCGGCUCACUGGCCCGAUACUGACGCUGAGGCACGAAAGCGUGGGGAGCAAACAGG